rnacentral:rRNA from 1 species
UACGGAGGGUGCAAGCGUUAUCCGGAUUCACUGGGUUUAAAGGGUGCGUAGGCGGGUUGGUAAGUCCGUGGUGAAAUCUCCAAGCUUAACUUGGAAACUGCCGUGGAUACUAUCAAUCUUGAAUAUAGUGGAGGUGAGCGGAAUAUGUCAUGUAGCGGUGAAAUGCUUAGAUAUGACAUAGAACACCCAUUGCGAAGGCAGCUUACUACACAACGAUUGACGCUGAGGCACGAAAGCGUGGGGAUCAAACAGG